CACAAGGAAAACAAAUGGCGCCCGCCAGCAAGGAGCAAAUGGCGCCCGCCAGCUUGCACCAAGUGGCCCUCGCCACUUCCUUUUCAUCAUGGUCGUCCAUCAGAUCAAACGGUGAAGCGCUAUUCAACUAAAAGUCCCACAUCGGCCAGAUUCUGUCUUUUCCUCCUUGUAUUUUAGUAUAAAUAGGCUAGUUCUCUUCACUCAAAAACAUAACACUUGACUUGGAGAAUUGAGAACUAGGCUUAGUACCACAAGGUUUUCUUCUCUAAAGUUGAGAGUUUAGUAUUAUUUUAUUCUCCGUUGAGAAUAAAAUAAGUUUUUUUUAUUUCCUGCUGUUACGCUGUCGGAGUCCGUACUCGAGAUUCCUUUUGUUAUUUCAGGUUCUUAUUUUAUUUUAUGGUCUUAUUUAUUUCUUGUCUUUAUUUUAUUGCUUUUAUUUUACGCUUUUAAUUUCUGUUUUUAUUUUUAUUAUGUCUUUUUAUUUAUUUGCUUAUUUUAUUUUUAUGU
rnacentral:lncRNA from 1 species